rnacentral:rRNA from 1 species
UACGUAGGUGGCGAGCGUUGUUCGGAAUUACUGGGCGUAAAGGGCUCGUAGGCGGCCAACUAAGUCAGACGUGAAAUCCCUCGGCUUAACCGGGGAACUGCGUCUGAUACUGGAUGGCUCGAGUUUGGGAGAGGGAUGCAGAAUUCCAGGUGUAGCGGUGAAAUGCGUAGAUAUCUGGAGGAAUACCGGUGGCGAAGGCGGCAUCCUGGACCGACAUUGACGCUGAAAGGCGAAAGCUAGGGGAGCAAACGGG